UACAGAGACUGCAAGCGUUAUUCGGAUUCACUGGGCGUAAAGGGUGCGCAGGCGGCCGUAUGUGUGAGGCGUGAAAGCCCGGGGCUUAACCCCGGAAUUGCACCUCAAACUAUACGGCUAGAGCAUUGGAGAGGGUAGCAGAAUUCAUGGUGUAGCAGUGAAAUGCGUAGAUAUCAUGAGGAAUACCAGAGGCGAAGGCGGCUACCUGGACAAUUGCUGACGCUCAGGCACGAAAGCGUGGGAGCAAAGG
rnacentral:rRNA from 1 species